rnacentral:lncRNA from 1 species
GGAAGUUAUUAUUAGCCAGUGGGCUAAUAGUAAAACAUGCUGAAAUACAAGGAAAGGAACAGGCAAAACUCUGAUAAUCCACAAUACCAUAGCUUUCAUGUGCUGGGGCACUGUGCCAGUGUUGCAACUGCUGCAGAAGGUUUUUCUUUUAUCUCUGCAAACUGCCUAUCUGGAAAUUAAUUACAAGAUUUGUACAGCAGGUCUCAAAUCUGAUGUGCUGCUGACAUUAAUGGGAUAUAUAUGUACAGUGGAGGACAGCAUUCACAAGUCAAAAUCUACUAUGAGGUUCUGUGAAGAUAAUGUAACUGAAGUUUUCUCUUCUACACCUGAACUUGAAAGAAGUAAUGACAUUUUAUCUCAUGAAUAAUGUUUUAGUUACAGUUCUAUACAAGGUUUAAUUAAGUCCUUGAAAGUUAAACCUAUCCAAAGAGGUCCAAAAAUUUCUGGGCUAAAACUAUUUUUAGGAUAGAUAUUCUUGUAAAGUGUGCUGCUUCUUAGGCAUGACUUGGUGCAUCCAUUUCCCUUCUUCCAUGUUGUCCAAACUCCCUAUUAUCAUGCCUAGCUUAAAGGGAAUGAACACAUCAGUACUUUGGAGUGUAUGACAGUGAAUAUUUGUGGCUGAACAUAUAUAGUAACAUGAAUCUGGCUGGUGAAUGCCUUUAGCUCCUUACCAAUCAGCAUAUUUGCAGUGAGCAUCUGGGAUUUGUUGACACCUAGCAGCCUGGUUAGUUCCACAUGUAUGCAUAACAACAUUCAACCUUAUAGAGUUUUCAACCUUACAGAGUUACCAUGUGUCAACAAAUUUUCAGAGAGGCUUCCAAGAGACCAACUGUAUUUGUACUGCACAGCUGUUUUAUGUAUAUGCAAUAAAAUAAAUCCAAGCAAUCUGGGACA